AUCUGGCAAGAGGGUGGCAGAGCCUAGAACCCAGAUCUGCUUCCUGAGCCCCAUUUUGUCAUUGCCCGGGGACUCUCUCUAAGUUGGCCUCCUCUCCUUUGACUCUCAAUAGCCGAAGGUGGUCUGGAUGAAGAACGAGAUGGAAAUCCGCGAAGAUCCCAAGUUCCUGAUAACCAAUUACCAAGGAGUCCUGACGCUGAACAUCCGCCGCCCCUCGCCCUUCGACGCUGGGACUUACACCUGCCGGGCCGUCAACGAGCUAGGCGAGGCGCUGGCUGAGUGCAAGCUGGAGGUCCGAGUGCCUCAGUGAGACCUAUCCCCUACCUGCCAAGACAGUUGGCGGCGGAGUCCUGACCCCAAUCCCCAACCUGCCGGGACUGUGUUCUUUCUGGAGUUUUCGCUGAGAACAAAACAGUGUUGUCUG
rnacentral:sRNA from 1 species